rnacentral:lncRNA from 1 species
GUUGUCUAUUUGGGUUGUGCAGGAUUUUGAAGCUUAAGAAGAGUGAGACCGAACAUGCAGGCCACAAGAGUGAACGACUAUGUCAACAUCCAGCUUGGGGGAGGCACCCCCACGUGUAUCUAGAUAAGUAUUACUUUUCUUCCUUUGGUUUUAUUUUCUAGUAUUCAGAAAUAAAUAAAUAAAUAAAAAUGCAUAACCAUGAAACCAAACAAAGUUUUUCUUUUG